rnacentral:snoRNA from 1 species
GAGCAAUGUUGAAAAAGGUUUUAACACUGACCUUUAUAACUAUGAAGGUCUCGACACCAGAUCUGAGCCCA